GUGCGGGGGUGGGGUCGCACCUAAGGGUGGGCGGGAGGGCUGGCCUGGGGACACUGGGCUUGGGCGCCACGAGGCUUGGGAGCUGGAGGUCCGGGGGAGCGGGCUGCCCGGGAGGGCUGGGGUCCAGGCUGCGUGCGGCGUCUGGAAAGGGUAACUGAAGGAUGCGCAGCGGGGAGCUCCUAGGUUCCCGGUCCUGGGGACUCUGAGCCACCUCGUGGAGGAGGCGGAGUGAGGUGUCAGUGACACGACGCAGUCUCUUUGACAAUGAUCCGCUGGGGCAGGUGGCUUGACUGUGCAUGGAAGGAAUUAAGUUCAUUUUAAGAAAGGACACCCCCCCCCCCACCGUCCCAUCUGUAAGGUAUAUGUAAAGAGGAAGUCUUUAUGUUGGAGUAAGAACUUCUGCCAUAGGGCUGGGCUCCAAGAAUUUCAGGUAAAACUUGUUGACUAGUUCUCAUGCUUUCUUUUUCUUUCCCCACUUUUGCCCUUAUGCUUUUGCGACUUUCUAGAUGAUUUCAUUAAUGGUUUUGUCAAAAUGGAAGUUGAAGUAUAAUAUUGCUUUCAGAAAUGUUUCUUAUGCAGACGUUUGGACUAAAAAUCUGUUUGUAAGAUAUUUAGGUACUGUUUGUAAGUGGAUCGGUACUGUUUUUAAGAAAAAUACUAGAGAAAUGAUCUCAAGAAUUAAGCCUUGUAGCAAAAUCAGGCUGGAGAUCAGAAAUUUAAAACGAUUAAGUGAAAAAUUUGUUAUUUUUUAAUACAUUGUUACAUUAGCUAUUGCCUUGUAGUUGGCAUUUCUACUGUGUAAGAGUGUAGCUAAGGCAACACAUCAGAAGAGAAGCCUUGACGUCUACAGAUAGUCUUUCUAUAGACAUAUGAUCUUACUACUUAAUAGAAACUAAUUAGAUUAGAAAGGAAAUUUGGAGUCUGGUUGGUAAAUAGAUUGCUCUGAAGGACUUGAUUUAAUGUGGGUUUUGAUGGGUGCUUUUUUUCAAGAAAUUUUAUUAACUUGAAUUAGAGAAUGUUUUAUUGUUUGUAUUUUAAAUUUUACAUUAUACAUAAACAUUUCAUUGAUUUAUAAGCACCCCAUUUAUAAAUGUUGUAUAUAUGGUACUGACUCAUUUUUCAGGAGAACAGAAAGGAG
ensembl:lncRNA